ACUCCUACGGGAGGCAGCAGUAGGGAAUCUUCCGCAAUGGACGAAAGUCUGACGGAGCAACGCCGCGUGAGCGAUGAAGGCCUUCGGGUCGUAAAGCUCUGUUGUUAGGGAAGAACAAGUAUCGGAGUAACUGCCGGUACCUUGACGGUACCUAACCAGAAAGCCACGGCUAACUACGUGCCAGCAGCCGCGGUAAUA
rnacentral:rRNA from 1 species